rnacentral:sRNA from 1 species
AUAUAAAGAUUUAAGAAACUAGA